CAGUAGCCGCGGUAAUACGAAGGGGGCUAGCGUUGUUCGGAAUCACUGGGCGUAAAGGGUGCGUAGGCGGAUUCUUAAGUCAGGGGUGAAAUCCCGAGGCUCAACCUCGGAACUGCCUUUGAUACUGGGGAUCUUGAGUCCGGAAGAGGUGAGUGGAACUGCGAGUGUAGAGGCGAAAUUCGUAGAUAUUCGCAAGAACACCGGUGGCGAAGGCGGCUCACUGGUCCGGAACUGACGCUGAGGCACGACAGCGUGGGGAGCAAACAGGAUUAGAUACCCCUGUAGUCCCUGUCUCUUAUAC
rnacentral:rRNA from 1 species